rnacentral:rRNA from 1 species
GUGGGGGAUAUUGCACAAUGGGGGAAACCCUGAUGCAGCGACGCCGCGUGAAGGAAGACGUACUUCGGUAUGUAAACUUCUAUCAGCAGGGAAGAAGAUGACGGUACCUGACUAAGAAGCCCCGGCUAACUACGUGCCAGCAGCCGCGGUAAUACGUAGGGGGCAAGCGUUAUCCGGAUUUACUGGGUGUAAAGGGAGCGUAGACGGUGAAGCAAGUCUGAUGUGAAAGCCCGGGGCUCAACUCCGGGAUUGCAUUGGAAACUGUUUUACUUGAGUGCUGGAGGGGCAAGCGGAAUUCCUGGUGUAGCGGUGAAAUGCGUAGAUAUCAGGAAGAACACCGGUGGCGAAGGCGGCUUGCUGGACAGUAACUGACGUUGAGGCUCGAAAGCGUGGGGAGCAAACAGGAUUAGAAACCCUUGUAGUCC